UGGGGAAUAUUGCACAAUGGGCGCAAGCCUGAUGCAGCCAUGCCGCGUGUAUGAAGAAGGCCUUCGGGUUGUAAAGUACUUUCAGCGGGGAGGAAGGGAGUAAAGUUAAUACCUUUGCUCAUUGACGUUACCCGCAGAAGAAGCACCGGCUAACUCCGUGCCAGCAGCCGCGGUAAUACGGAGGGUGCAAGCGUUAAGCGGAAUUACUGGGCGUAAAGCGCACGCAGGCGGUUUGUUAAGUCAGAUGUGAAAUCCCCGGGCUAAACCUGGGAACUGCAUCUGAUACAGGCAAGCUUGAGUCUCGUAGAGGGGGGUAGAAUUCCAGGUGUAGCGGUGAAAUGCGUAGAGAUCUGGAGGAAUACCGGUGGCGAAGGCGGCCCCCUGGACGAAGACUGACGCUCAGGUGCGAAAGCGUGGGGAGCAAACAGG
rnacentral:rRNA from 1 species